GACGAACGCCGGCGGCGUGCUUAACACAUGCAAGUCGAACGGAAAGGCCCUGCUUUUGUGGGGUGCUCGAGUGGCGAACGGGUGAGUAACACGUGAGUAACCUGCCCUUUACUUUGGGAUAACUUCAGGAAACUGGGGCUAAUACCGGAUAGUAGCUCCUGCUUCAUGGUGGUGGUUGGAAAGUUUCGGCGGUUGGGGAUGGACUCGCGGCUUAUCAGCUUGUUGGUGGGGUAGUGGCUUACCAAGGCUUUGACGGGUAGCCGGCCUGAGAGGGUGACCGGCCAAAUUGGGACUGAGAUAAGGCCCAGAAUCCUACGGGAGGCAGCAGUGGGGAAUAUUGCAAAAUGGGCGGAAGACUGAUGCAGCAACGCCGCGUGCGGGAUGACGGCCUUCGGGUUGUAAACCGCUUUCGCAUGUGACGAAGAGAGAGUGACGGUAAUGGGUAAAGAAGCACCGGCUAACUACGUG
rnacentral:rRNA from 1 species